rfam:Triticum aestivum genome assembly, contig: Triticum_aestivum_CS42_TGACv1_scaffold_018951_1AS
UUUCUACUCCCUCCAUCCGAAAAUACUUCUCAUCAAAAUGGAUAAAAAGAGAUGUAUCUAAAACUAAAAUACGUCUAGAUACAUUUCCUUUUAUCCAUUUUGAUGACAAGUAUUUCUGGACGGAGGGAGUAUUUG